AUGACUCUCACAGCACCGCCGCAACUGUACUUCGGUCCCGCCGCACUUGGACCUUACCCUAUAUGGUUGCCAAGAAUCAGAUUCCGGGGAGAUGGUGGUUGGACCAGCUAGAGGAAUUAUCUUUGAAGAAACUGGUAAGGAGUUAUCCAAAACUAGCUGCUGGUGGGAGAGGCUGAGGUUGCCAAACCAGAAUGAAGGUCAAGCAAAUGCUUCACCAAGCCAUAGAUCUGUUGUACUCUAAUGGACCAACUUCUGUUGAUGAUUACACUCGUCUUGUGCUUCAUUGUGCUCGAGCCAAUGACUUCAUUCAAGCAAAGCGACUGCAGUCUCACAUGGAACUUCACCUUUUUCAACCCAAAGACUCCUUCAUCCACAACCAACUCAUCCAUUUGUAUGUCAAAUUGGGCAAGCUCGCAGAUGCUCAAAACGUGUUUGAUAACAUGACUAAGAGAGAUGUUUAUUCUUGGAAUGCCUUGCUUUCUGCUUAUGCUAAGAUGGGCAUGGUUGAGAAUUUAAAUGUUGUCUUUGAUCGAAUGCCUUAUCGCAAUUCUAUUUCAUAUAACAAAUUAAUUGCAUAUUUUGCUAGUAAUGGACAUUCAGGCAAAGCAUUAGAAGUUCUUAUGAGAAUGCAGGAAGAGGGGUUUCAGCCUACCCAUCACUCCUAUGUGAAGGCAUUGCAAGCAUGUUCUCAGCUUUUGGAUUUGAGGCAUGGGAAACAAAUUCAUGGGAAGAUUGUUGUUACUGAUUUGGAAGGAAAUACUUUUGUAAGGAAUGCUGUGACUGAUAUGUAUGCCAGAUGUGGUGAUAUAGAUAGGGCACGGUGGUUGUUUGAUCGAAUGAUUAAUAAAAAUGUUGUUUCAUGGAAUUUGAUGAUCUCUCGGUAUGUAAAAUUGGGAAAACCUGAUGAGUGCAUACAUUUGUUUGAUGAAAUGCAGUUGUCAGCUUUGAAACCUGACGUAGUUACAGUUUCAAAUGUUCUCAACGCUUACUUUCAAUGUGGACGUGUAGAAGAUGCGAGAAAUAUAUUUAGCAAAUUACCGAAAAAAGAUGAAAUUUGUUGGACAACCAUGAUAGUUGGUUAUACUCAAAAUGGAAGAGAGGAGGAUGCUUUGAUGUUGUUUGGGGACAUGCUAAGUAGAAAUGUUAAACUUGACUGUUACACCAUUUCUAGUGUGAUUUGCUCCUGUGCUAAACUAGCUUCUUUGUACCAUGGUCAAGUUGUCCAUGGAAAAGUAAUUUUAGUGGGCGUUGAGAAUGACAUGCUUGUAUCAAGUGCUCUUGUUGAUAUGUACUCCAAAUGUGGAAUCACUUUGGAUGCCUGGGUCGUUUUUGAAACUAUGCCUAUUAGGAAUGUGAUCACUUGGAAUGCCAUGAUUCUGGGUUAUGCACAAAAUGGACAGGUUCCCGAGGCCUUGGCUUUGUAUGAAAGAAUGCAACAAGAAAAUUUCAAACCUGAUAAUAUUACUUUUGUGGCUGUCUUAUCUGCUUGUAUCAAUGCUGAUAUGGUAAAAGAAGGACAGAAAUAUUUUAAUUCUAUUAGUGCACAAGGAAUGACACCCACAUUGGAUCACUAUGCAUGUAUGGUUACUCUCCUUGGUAGGUCAGGUAGAAUUGAUAAAGCAGUGGAUCUAAUUCAAGGUAUGCCUCACGAACCAAGUUGCCGUAUUUGGUCCACCUUACUAUCUGUUUGUACCAAAGCUGACCUAAAGAGUGCAGAGUUGGCAGCUAAUCAUCUCUUUAAAUUGGAUCCACAUAAUGCUGGACCUUACAUAAUGCUUUCCAACUUGUAUGCUGCAUGCGGGAGAUGGAAAGAUGUAGCUGUUGUAAGAUCUCUCAUGAAGGAAAAGAGUGCAAAGAAGCUUGCGGCCUACAGUUGGGUUGAGGUUGGGAAUGAAGUCCACAGAUUUGUUUCAGAAGAUCACUCUCAUCCAGAAGUGGGAAAAAUCUAUGGAGAGUUGAAGAGAUUGAUCUCAAUAUUGCAACAAAUUGGUUAUAAUCCUGAUAUAAACAUUGUCCUACACAAUGUGGGAGAGGACGAAAAAUUUAGAUCCAUUUCCUACCAUAGUGAGAAACUUGCCCUUGCAUUUGCUUUAAUUAGAAAGCCCAAUGGGAUUGCACCAAUACGGAUCAUAAAGAACAUACGUGUCUGUGAUGACUGCCAUGUAUUUAUGAAGUUUGCAUCAGUUACUAUAAGGCGUCCAAUCGUUAUGAGAGAUUCAAACAGGUUUCAUCAUUUCUUUGAUGGGAAGUGUUCUUGCAAGGACAAUUGGUUAUGAAACAGGGGAGAAAGCUAUUAUACGGUUCAAGACUUCCUAGUAUUAAAGCAGGUGUGUUGCAAAAGAAUACUAGGUGAGAAGUACAAGAGUACCUCAAUGAAAAUUCCGUGGCAGCAAUGCAAUUUAAGAUGUUUUGGACUAUAUGAGACAAUUGCAGGGAAAUUGGGGCUAAAUAUUGUUUGUGACUUAUGCUAUUCAAUAUUUUGGUAGAUGCAAUUUAUACCUUCAGGGAUGAACAUAACAGUUAGCACCACCUGAAUGCGAUUGGAUCUUAAAUCUUAAGUUGUCAUCUCUAUUAUCAAUGCAUGAAUUCAUUGAUACGCCUGCAUUCGUAAUCUCCACCAAGGGUUCUAUGCAUUUGACUUUUGCGAUAGGCCCUGUCCCUGUCAACUAAGAUGUGGUCCAGGAAGCUCUUUUAGGGGUAAGUACUGUUUAAAUUGGUUUCAAUUUUGAGUAUCAUUCUUAUAUAAUUAUUGCUUCAUUAUUCUUGUGAAAGUUAAAAUGCAUGCUGUGGUCUAGCAUGAUUAUAUGAUAAGGUUCAAGACCCAAUGAAGCCAUAGUAAAUCAAAAUUAGUUUUAUAAGAAAUUUUAUCUUACACCAAAUAAAUAAUCUCAUGAUUGUCAUGUUAAUAAAUAAUUUUUAUAUAAAUUAUAUUGUAGUGAUUUAUUA